rnacentral:rRNA from 1 species
AUUGAACGCUGGCGGCAGGCCUAACACAUGCAAGUCGAACGAGUGGCGGACGGGUGAGUAAUGUCUGGGAAACUGCCUGAUGGAGGGGGAUAACUACUGGAAACGGUAGCUAAUACCGCAUACCAUCGGAUGUGCCCAGAUGGGAUUAGCUAGUAGGGGGGGUAAAGGCUCACCUCUGCGACGAUCCCUAGCUGGUCUGAGAGGAUGACAAGCCAAACUGGAUCGUCGACAAGGGCCAGACGACUACGAGAGGCAGCAGUGGGGAAUAUGGCAGAAAAGGCGAAAGUCUGAUGCAGGAAUGCCGCGUGUAUGAAGAAGGCCUUCGGCUUUUAAAGUACUUUCAGCGGGGAGGCGUUACCCGCAGAAGCAGCCCCGGCUAACUCCGUGCCAGCAGCCGUGGUAAUUC